AGGACGAACGCUGGCGGCGUGCUUAACACAUGCAAGUGGAGCGACGAACCAGGCUUCGGCCUGGGGCAGAGCCGCGAACGGGUGAGUAACACGUGGGUAACCUGCCCUGAUGAUUGGGACAACCCGAGGAAACUCGGGCUAAUACCAAAUGUGCCCUUUGACCGCAAGGCCACUGGGGAAAGGAAGCUUCGGCCUCCGCAUUGAGAUGGGCCCGCGGCCCAUUAGCUUGUUGGUGAGGUAACGGCUCACCAAGGCUUCGAUGGGUAGCUGGUCUGAGAGGACGAUCAGCCACAUUGGGACUGAGACACGGCCCAAACUCCUACGGGAGGCAGCAGUGGGGAAUAUUGGACAAUGGGCGCAAGCCUGAUCCAGCCAUGCCGCGUGAGUGAUGAAGGCCCUAGGGUUGUAAAGCUCUUUUGUGCGGGAAGAUAAUGACGGUACCGCAAGAAUAAGCCCGGCUAACUUCGUGCCAGCAGCCGC
rnacentral:rRNA from 1 species